rnacentral:pre_miRNA from 1 species
UCUAGAACUCGAGAUAUGGGCUGAACACUGAACAGUGUCUGGGUUGUAGGACAGAUUCCGACUUCUCUAUUAUUGCUACAAUUUGAACUUAAAAUGGUCCUUUUAAAUCUUGGACUCUUCAUGAAAGUUUUAGGCCUAUGUCUUAACUUUCUAUC